rnacentral:rRNA from 1 species
UAAAACGUAGGUUCCGAGCGUUAUCCGGAUUUACUGGGCGUAAAGCGUGUUCAGGCGGCCUGUCAAGUCGGGCAUGAAAUCUCUCGGCUCAACCGGGAGGGGCUGUCCGAAACUGACGGGCUGGAGGGCAGGAGAGGGUGGUGGAAUUCCGGGUGUAGUGGUGAAAUGCGUAGAUAUCCGGAGGAACACCAGUGGCGAAAGCGGCCACCUGGCCUGCACCUGACGCUCAAACACGAAAGCUAGGGGAGCGAACGGGAUUAGAAACCCCGGUAGUCCUAGCCAUAAACGAUGUUGACUAGGUGUCAGCGGUCUCAACCCCGUUGGUGCCGGAGCAAACGCACUAAGUCAACCGCCUGGGGACUACGGCCGCAAGGUUA